UCAUGAGGCAGGACAGACUCACCUGCUGACAGUUUGCGAGCUUCCAGAAGAAAAAAGCGUCAGCAAAAUAGAGAUGUCUUCGACGUAGGUGUCUCCUGACGGGACUUGAAGAACGCAAGUGCGCAAAGCUGUCCCGCACCCCUCGCACACCAAGAAGAGGGGGUGCUCAUAGAGAAACGCGGGCUGAAAGAGUGUAAGUGUGGGGGUGUGGGAGGACAGGGUUUGCCAGCUAAGCAGCUCAGGCAGCUAUUGUUGGUGCACCUGGCUGCAAGACUCAUUUCUAAUUUAUAAAGCGCCUCCCAGAUCUGCCAAGGGGAGCUUUACUCCUGGGGCACCUCAGACCACUAUUGUUUAUUAUUCUCCCCCAGCUCCCACUUACAACUGACUGCAAAACGUUGACCAGAAACACACUUGUGGCUCGAUUUUUCAUUUUAGUGUGGAGCUUGGGAGGUGAGUCAUGGUUAGAAUGUGUUUUAUACCAGGCAUAUACAGCACACACAUUUAUUCAUAUUGUAAACACAAUUAAACCCACUCGGACUGCAGUGCACAGCCGCAGACAGAGCCAUAAAUGUACAUGCUCUACAAACUUGCAUUCCAUCAUUCAGUCAUCAUUAGUUUGUGUGUAUAGUGCCAGUAAAGUAACUACAGCACUUUCUCGAGAAUCACUAUAGGUAAUGUGCAGGUUAUUUUAGUGCAAAAUGAUGGACAGGUCCUUUUGAAAGACUACUUUUACAUAGCUUUUUGGGAUAGAUAGAGAUAGAGGACUAUGUUUUUCCAGUACACCUAAAAUGUAAAUGUUUGCUUGACACAUUGGGUUUUUUGUAAAAUAACAUGGUAUGGUUUUCUUUCUUCAAUGGAACACAAACAGAGAUAAGUUGAAGUAAACAGUGACUCCUUUGCUACUGUAUAUUUUAAGUCUUCUGAUUUUAAAUAUUUUUGUCAUAUUCAGAGCUUGACAGCCCCUGGUCAUUUUAACAUGUAACUGUAUCACAAAUAGCAUCAUGGGUGUCCUGCCUAACAUCUGUUUUUAUAUUAAUCAGAAGAAAGUCAUACAGGUUUAAACUGACGGGAUGAUUUUUGGGUGAACUAUCCCUUUAUGAGUUCAGCUAUGCUGUAUUUUAUACAUUUGCCUCUUCUUUUCAUUGUGCAUGCAAAGUUCCAGCUGGAUCCAGAACAUAAAGAAAGAUUACUGAACACGUCUUAUGAGAAGGACCCAAAAAUGACCUUCUUAUUAAAGAAUAUACUGAUAAUACAUUCAAACUAAUGAGCUCCAACUAGAGUCAUACCUACAUUUUUUCCUGGACAAUGUUUCUUUGUGCUCAACUUGGAGAUGGAGAACUAUCAUCUUUCCAAAUGCCUAUGGCUAGUCAGAGAGAGAAAAAGAGAGAGACUGAGGAAAGAAACCCAUCUCAGAAGACUUUAUUAUUAUUAUUUUUAUUUUAUUUGACAGUACAUUAUUAAAAAUAAUAAAAAUAAAUAGAUAAAUAAAACAUAAUGCUAGGGAGAUUUUAUCUGUUGGAGAAUCUUAAGUUUCCCACAAGUUUUCCAGAACUCCCACCGUGGUGUCUGUCUCAAGUCUCCCCCUGUUGGAGAAAAGUGGAGAUUGACAUGGCUUUUCAGCAGAUCACAGAAUGCAGAUGGCCUGUGGAAAAUGAAGAUCUUUAUAUCUUAAUAUCACUCUUAAAAGCCAAGCUCAUCCUUACUAUAGAAUUCAUUGUGCACUUUUAUACAUGGUCUUGCUAUAGAAAAUUCAGUAGAAUUGCAGUAAUGCAUUCAUUGUGGAACAAAAUUGUCUCAUGGUUCAUAUCUAUACAGUAAGAGUUUACUGACUGUAUAGAUAAAGUCUAUCUGUGAGCAGACACAUUUGUUUAACUUAGUGUUACAUCAAAAAUGUUUAUACACCCCCAUGGUGAUUGCUAAUUGCAGAUUACUUAUACUGUAUUUAUAUAAAUGUCAACCAGGCCAGGAACAAACUUGCCUCACUUGGGGAAAAGAAAACUGUCUACUCUGUCAUUGUUCACUAUGAUUCACGUACUGUGAUCUCCAGUGUGUAAGGAGGUGAGACACUGUUGGAAAUUUACACCCCAAACUGAUACUCCCUCUGAGAGGAAGAUGGGGACUUCUCGCUGCUCCGAGCUCAAGUAUGUGAUGAAGAGGGAUUCCAAGACUAAUAGCACAGUCACUGGCUCUUCUCCAUCCCUCUGGGCAAGGCUGGCUCCCAUCAUGCACUUCUCUGCCAGCACCUCAUUGGCUCUGACUGCCUUCUCUAAUUGCAAGCACCACGCAUUCCCAGAAUGCCUCACUCAGUUUUCCAGCUCAUGUUUUUUUUCCCCAGAUUUUCUUUAAAUGGAGUCAGAUUAGAAAUGUGGUUUCGGGAAAGUGAGAGCUUUGAUUUGGAAAGAAAUUAUAUGAAAUUAAGUGCGAAGUGGGAAGCCCUUUAUACUUUACUGUGGUAAUCCACUAACUACUCUCUUCCUUCCAGUUUUCCUCCUCUCAUCCCCUGACUACCACCAUUAGACAUGACUUUCUGUAGUUAAUCAAUAUUUUCCCAGUCCACCACAAGAGGGAGACAAAAUCGUUUGCAACAGCCCACUUCGAUGUUAACGAAAAGGCCCUGGACUUUUACAUUUAGUUUACCCAUUUAAAGAAGAACUUACAGUUUCCAGGUAACAUUUUAAUGGAUGAAUUAAAAUGAUCGUUUGUAAAUACUACUUGAUCUCUAUACCCAAUCUAUCUCCACCAUAGCCAGCACAUCCUCAUGCGUGUAGUUUGAUGGAUGCUGUAUUUGCUCUUGGGCACAUUGAUCUGUGGGUGUUUGUGGGCAGAUUGUAUGAAUAUCCCUGGUCCUCUCUGCCCACAGUGUUUUCAAAUCUCUUAUGCUCUUCAUAACUUUAUGGAGACAAUGAUGUGAGAUACUGCUUUAAGAAAAUAUGUCUGUAUACUAACACCCUGUAUUGUUGAUGUGCUGUAUACAGUAGGCCUACAUCAUACAAAGCAAUUGCAUAUGGUAUGCUUUAGGCUAUUAUCAAGAUUAGAGGAGGAUUUUUGCCUCUUUUGCCGGCUAUGCAAACAUUAUUUAUUUUUUCCUGAUAAUAAAAGUAUAUCGGGUGACAUUAUAAGGGAAAGAAAUUUGAGGAAAUGCAUUUCAAUCAUGACAAAUCUGACAAUGACAAUGGUGAUGCACAUGACAGUGUUAAUGUAUUUGGUCUUGGCGGAAUAGAUGUUAUGCUGCUGCUGAAUUACUGCUGUUGGUUAUUGAUGUGUUUGUAGAUUAUUGCUGCUGCUGCAAGCAAGUUCAGGAAUUGCUACUGCCAAUGCAUACAGCGAUACGGUGCUGUGAGUAUUUAAGACAUACUGCUGCUGCACAAAUAGCAUUUAAAAUAACCCAUAGGAGAUCUAUACAGGUGGAGCUGGGGAAGGAGGAGGGUUUCAGAGAAACUCUGAAAGUGCGCUGCAGAAUCUCAAGUGAAUGCUAGCAGAAAUACAAAUGCAAGACAGCAUAUGCAGCAUAAACCAAUCAAAUUAUUUAUUUUUUUCACAUUAAAUUUUGUUUAUGUCUUGUGGCUAUUCUUUGUUGAGUAUUUUAACACGUACAGAGUGUCCCCAUUCACUUCUUUAGUAAGUGCCUCACUAUAACCCAGAUUUUUGCAAUUUUUAAGAAAAGGAAGUACAAAUGAAAAUAAAUUUUUGUGGUAAAUUCUGAAUAUACCUCUGAACAAUUGCUCUACCACAAGAAUACAACAGAAUGUCUAGAAGUGGUUCAUGUCCGCAAAAACACAAAGGAAGGAAUGAAUGCUCUUUUUAAGAGUAAGCACACAGGAAUAUGUUUAUUUAAUUAGCCUUGAACACUGGCUCAGAGCACUACAGGCUGUCCUUGCCCUUUAGAACCCUCAGCAUCACCAGUGGUGGCACACAAGAGCUUGCAGCUGCGCGACCUCAAUUUCACAAGGGCCUGAUUCUACUACACUACUGAUGCACACUUGGAAUGGUGUCAGAGGGGAAAAAAUCACAUCUCCUCACAUCCUUUCCUUGAGCGUAUUCAUUCACCCUUACUACUUAUCAAACUUUAAAAAUACCUGUGCAUACGUGACUGACAGCCUAGUUGAUUCAACCAAAUGACAUCUUACCUUUAUAUUGAAAACUGAAUAAUUUCACGUCAGAUUCUAGAUUGAUGCUGCCCUUGUUAUACUUAUCUUAGACUAGCUUUGCUUAUCCAGACAUUAACCAUUUGAAAGGAAACAGCAAACUGGGCUCAGCCCGAAACACUUGGAAGAGGUCUUGACACCUGCGGUUACAUUGAACAUGACAUCACUGUAAAUGUUUUAGCCUGAGGUUAAAGCACUCACCAGUUUUCUGCUGUAUAUAAAUAAAGUGCCUUGUAUAACA